ACUGGGCGUAAAGGGUGCGUAGGCGGGCAAAUGUGUCGGUUGUGAAAUCUCGGGGCUUAACUCCGAAACUGCGGCCGAAACUAUUUGUCUAGAGGCUUGGAGAGGAGAGCGGAAUUUCAGGUGUAGCGGUGAAAUGCGUAGAUAUCUGAAAGAACACCCAUGGCGAAGGCAGCUCUCUGGACAAGUUCUGACGCUGAGGCACGAAAGGGUGGGGAGCAAAAGGGAUUAGAUACCCCUGUAGUCCACCCCGUAAACGUUGUACACUAGGUGUUGGAGGAUUCGACCCCUUCAGCGCUCAAGCUAACGUGAUAAGUGUACCGCCUGCGGACUACGGCCGCAAGGCUAAAACGUAAAGGAAUUGACGGGCCCCCGCACAAGCGGUGGAGCAUGUGGCUUAAUUCGAUGCAACGCGAAGAACCUUACCCAGGUUUGACAUGCAGUGGACAGGGUGUGAAAGCACCCCUCUCUUCGGAGCCGCUGCACAGGUGCUGCAUGGCUGUCGUCAGCUCGUGUCGUGAGAUGUUCGGUUAAGUCCGUCAACGAGCGCAACCCUCGUCCUUAGUUGCCAGCGGUUCGGCCGGGGACUCUAAGGAGACAAACCUCUUAUAGAGGUGGGAAGGUGGGGAUGACGUCAAGUCAGUAUGGCCCUUACGCCUGGGGCUGCACACGUGCUACAAUGCCUGGUACAGUGGGAAGCAAUACCGCGAGGUGGAGCAAACCCCUAAAGCCAGGCCCAGUUCGGAUUGGAGUCUGCAACUCGACUCCAUGAAGCCGGAAUCGCUAGUAAUGGCGU
rnacentral:rRNA from 1 species